rnacentral:rRNA from 1 species
CGCCUCUUGCAAAAUCAAUGUAUAAGAGGUCCCGCCUGCCCUGUGACUAGAAUGUUUAACGGCCGCGGUAUUUUGACCGUGCGAAGGUAGCGCAAUCACUUGUCUUUUAAAUAGGGACCUGUAUGAAUGGCAUAACGAGGGCUUAACUGUCUCCUUUUUCCAGUCAAUGAAAUUGAUCUCCCCGUGCAGAAGCGGGGAUGAGAACAUAAGACGAGAAGACCCUGUGGAGCUUUAGACACCACGGCAGACCAUGUUAAGAACCCCCAGACACAGGACCAAACUAGAUGCCCCCUGCCCCCAUGUCUUCGGUUGGGGCGACCAUGGGGUAAAAUCAACCCCCCACGCGGACAAGGGAGAACCUCCCCCUAAGACCAAGAGCUCCCGCUCUAACAAGCAGAACUUCUGACCUAAAGAUCCGGCUAAAGCCGAUCAACGGACCAAGUUACCCCAGGGAUAACAGCGCAAUCCUCUUUUAGAGCCCAUAUCGACAAGAGGGUUUACGACCUCGAUGUUGGAUCAGGACAUCCUAAUGGUGCAGCCGCUAUUAAGGGUUCGUUUGUUCAACGAUGAAAGUCCU